rnacentral:lncRNA from 1 species
AUGGUGCAGAAUCCCUCUUCUCCAUUUUUGCCUCUAGGAGGUGCUGAAGAGUUUCUCCAAGACCAUCUUACCCAGGUGGACAUGGAGAAGGAACUUCAGACCUUAUUUGGCCAAAAUUUCAGACCACACCAAAGGAAAGAGUCUGCCUUGAGGACUUCUUCUACCCUUCCUGUCUCCAGCCUUGGUUUUGGACACCGUAGUUCCAUAAAACUAUAUCCACCACCUCUUGCCCAAACUCAAUCCUGUGGCAUGUUGUCUGUGCUUGUGUCUUGUCCUAGCUCAUGGGGCUCUUCCUUCCCUUUCCAUUCCAGACAGUGAUUAAAGCAAAGGCAUGGAAGGAGGAGACUAGCUGAGGUCCAUGGGGGCAGGAAUGAAGAUGUGAGUUAGUUAGCAAGAAACUGCGGUCUACACACCCACCCCUUUCUCCCCCCAAAGUCCUUCCACUCAUGAAACUGUCUGUUUUGAAAUAAGAACUGCAAAUAUGAUUGUGAAAAAUUGUUGUCACUUAAUUACAUUGUUUGAUGGAGAGAUGUUUUUAUGUCCAGAACUCAAUUGGUGAAAAAAAGUUUAAAGAUGCAAAAACUUAUUUUCCACAAUGAAAUAAACUGGUCCUUUUCAAACA